UUACGGUGUAAGAGGUCCAAACUUUCAUGUUACUUUUGAAGUCAUCGACUUUCACGAUGCCUUGAUAAUUAUGUUUCAUAUUUUAUAAUACUGGAUACCUGGUUUCAUUUCUUUGUUAUCCUCAUUAAAACUUCAUAAAUCCGAA